AAACGCGAAGAAUGAAAUGAAAAAGAGGGCGAAAAAAGAACGCGGAGGGCGCGAAAGAGAUGGCGGGACAUCCAGUGAAGGUGGAUUGUCACUCGAAAACAACAACGAAAAAGCUUUUCCUUGUGCUUAUCCCAAUAUCUGCGAUACAUUCAAUGACUGAAGCACCCGUUUGGAUAACGAUCUCGGCAAGUCACUACUUUCGAGUCUUCACCGUACACACCUCCCAGAGCGGACAUUAAACCGCAGCUCACAAUGAACGCGCUUUGUUGUCGUCGGCGUUAUCAAUUAAAUGUAAAGCGAGGCGCAGCGCAAACGAAAUGGAAAUGAAAAUGGCAGCCGUGAGAUUCGCCAGAUACCGCACCACUCACACAGAUACUUUUCACAGAUACUUUAUGUAUAGAGUGCACACGUUUACAAAAGUUUGUUAUUAUUAUAUUUGCGAUGGGCGGAAAUGCCAAUUGAAGCUACCUUUAACAAAGCCCCACGAAGACGCCCGCCCCCGGGGUUAACUGAUGGACUUAUGGAUCGGCAGACGGACGCUCGGUGGGGCGGACGGCCGGACGGAGGGGGGAGUGGCGGACGGACGGACUGUGUGCAUGACUCAAGUGUAUUUCAGGGGAGCCACUCGAGCCAAAGUUGAAAAUUGAUUGAUUCCACUAAGCGAAUCGCCGCGCACAUGGAAAUGGAAGCCAAAACCACUCGAGUGUUCAAGGUACAGUCUAACCUCCGUGGCAUUAUGGUCGAUAAGCCACGCACACGUGCGUUCUACGCCCAUCCCGCUCGUCCCCUUCGCUACCACAUGUUGCUUAAUUAAUUAAAUUUCUUCUGAAUUUCUAAAUGUAAGAGGAGGAACAAAGUGCACGCAAAAAAAUUCAUUUGGUUUGGUAAAUAUGUACAAAAAUUGUAGAUCAAACUUCAAUUUCAGAUAAAGUAUAAUGCUUAAGACCUA